rnacentral:lncRNA from 1 species
GAUGCUGCAAUGGUGCCCAUCCAUUUGGAAAAUCCCUGUUUAAUUACCAGAAUACCAGUUUUAAAGAAGGGACGCCAAAUAAUUUCCUGUGCCAGGCAAAGUUUUACGAUAUCUAAUAAACCAUUUUAGGAAACUAACCAUUGUUGCCCUGUAUUGGAUACUGAAGUUGCUAUUCCUGCAGGACAGACCAACCCUGAUGUUUGGAGGCUUCUCAUGACUCUCACUGAUUUUGCUUCAUCCAGAAAUGGCCCCAAACCUGGUUAAGUUCCAGACAACCAUAAUCAGUGGCGAGCAACAAAAGGGUGAAUGUUCAGAGAGUUCC